GGUUCGGUGGUGUAGUGGUUAUCACGUCUGUCUCACAUCCUCUUAAUGUGCACAGGAGGUCCCCGGUUCGAGACCGGGUCGAACCA
rnacentral:tRNA from 1 species